rnacentral:rRNA from 1 species
GACGAACGCUGGCGGCGUGCUUAACACAUGCAAGUCGAACGGAAAGGCCCUGCUUUCGUGGGGUGCUCGAGUGGCGAACGGGUGAGUAACACGUGAGUAACCUGCCCUUGACUGUGGGAUAACUUCAGGAAACUGGUGCUAAUACAGGCUAGGAGCUCCUGCUGCAUGGUGGGGGUUGGAACGUUUCGGCGGUUGUGGAUGGACUGGGGGCUUAUCAGCUUGUUGGUGGGGUAGUGGCUUACCAAGGGUUUGACAGGUAGCCGGCCUGGGAGGGUGAACGGCCACAUUGGGACUGAGAGACGGCGCAGACUGCUACGGGAGGCAGCAGUGGGGAAUAUUGCACAAUGGGCGGAAGCGUGAUGCAGCAACGCCGCGUGUGGGAUGACGGCCUUCGGGUUGUAAACCGCAGUCGCCUGUGACGAAGCGGGAGUGACGGUAAUAGGUGAAGAAGCACCGGCUAACUACGUG